ensembl:lncRNA
GUACAAUUGUAUCAGUCUCUGGACUCUGAUUCUCGGUCUUUUUUCACACCCACACACUCAAAGGAUAUAUCACAUCCUGUUCUCUAGUUGUGGGUCACAGUAACACUGACGCUGGAUCUGGGGAAGUAGGUGCAAGGAAUUGACUCUCCAGCCUGUGGAAAGUGGAGCCUCAAGCAGGAGAAGGGUUGGAGAUGCCCUGGGUGUGGUAGGGCCAGGAGCUCGAUUGCUGUCCCUCACUUGGGCCUUUCCUUGACUUGGGGCACUGUGAUCUUCCAGUUGAAAACAGCCACUGAGCAAGGACGGUUGGAACUGUCAACGAUCGUUGCUUUCAGUUGCACAAGAAGGAGCGCGAGCAGCAGACCGCGCGGACCUGCUGCGUCUGCUCAGGCCCCGAGGAGCAGGCCUGCACGUGGGUGGGAAGGCGCAGCUUGGGACUGUCCCUGUGGGUCUGGCCAUGGGACAGCAGACCCGCAGGCGGAGCUGGGCGCCAUGCCAUCCGUGAUUCUUUCUUCUGGGCUGCAAACGCCAGCGUUGUGCUGCUGGAGUUGGCACAGGAACGAGUCUUCCUUGCGCUACAGGAUCUGGGAACUGGGCCCAGGUCGCUUUGCCUGCUGUUCAACAAAAGGCUCAUCCUUACAAAGGCCCACCGGGAGUUUCUGCCCGUCAGCACCAGACUUGUCAGAUGACCUGUGCUCCCGGAACUUGGACACGUUCUGGAUGAUGAGCGACUCCACCAAGAACCCCAAAGAUCUGGUGGCCCCGUCUGGCAUCACGCCGCAGGGUCACUGCAAUGUGGAGGCUUCUUGGCCCUUUGCUUCAGGGAUGGAGAGAGAGGCUAUGGAAAGAAGGGGACCAAACUCGGUGGUGGUAACCAUCAAAAUCUCAUCAAACAAAUCAGAGCCAUUAGUCACAUCAUCUGUCGUGUCAACUCACUGUUGUCCCCUUACUCUGUGACUACUUUUCCAGAGACAACAUGCUCUCCAUUUUGCCAUUGGAGGUGUUGGAAGUUAAGGUUUUCUUUUCUGGAAAAUCUUGAAAUCCAGGCACUGUCUUGUCUCAGAGGGUUAUCCUGUGUCAUCUUUAUGUCCUACAAUUAGGAUUAUAACUUCUUGUUUUGAAUAUCCAUGUCCACAAAAUGCUUUUGAAUUCCUUUCCCUUUAUCAGCUAAGUCCCUCUCCACAGUGUCAUUGGCCUGUUUGAGCUGUUUAUUCUUGGUCUUCCAAGUUUUGAAAACCAAGUGUCCAUACAGGACUCUCCUCUUAAGUCUAAUCUUCUCACUAAUAGCUGGCUUAUAUUUGAGCUCUAUUUCAGUUUCUCUCUCUCAAACUACAUUUCAAUUUCCUUCUCUAAGUCAGCUCUUCCAUUUCUUCCAGUUGGUUUUUGGUUUCCCCACCAUGAUCUCUCCCUUCUGCCAAAGAGUAUGAGUUCAGGGAAUUUACAGCAUUAUUUUUGCAAGACAUUUACCUUCCAGACUGCCUUGUGACCGGGCUGCAGUCACAUUGUAGGAGCCAGUUUAUAGGCUCCUCUUGAAGAAGAAGGGCCUAACUGGGAUGGGUGGUAAUGGGAGUCAGCUGAUUCUUGCACAACAUGGAUGGAGGUCUUUUUCUUGUGAGGACAGUGGGCUAUUACCAAAUUUCUAUUCUGUAGCUCCAUUAAUCCACCUUUGGAACUCUUAAUGGAUUUGGUGAGAAAAAAAAAAGAAGAGUAUCCCUUUCUUCCUAUAUAACAGUCAUGGAUUCAGGAGCUGCCUUUCCUCCUGGAGGAGCUAAAGUCACACGACCUGUUUUUUGUAGGUACCUACUCCUUAUAGGUAAAUCUUUUUUUCUUUUUUUUAACCUGUUUAUUCUGUCUUAUAUUCAGCUUAGUGGAUUCUUUCUUUAUGAGGCAUUCUAAAUGUUGGUUUCUUCCUGGUAAGAUGUUUAUCACUUCCAGGGCAAACUCACCUGGGCAGUUGGCAGCAUCUGAGAGCCUCUUCAUGCAGUUAUUCACUGGCUACUGGGACAGGCCUUGUAAUGGAGCAGGGCCUCCCUGUAUUCCUCAGAUGACCCGGGAACUCAUAUUUGUUCAUCUUCGCUUUGUGAAGAAAUUCCUAAAAAAAAUCUUGAUGAAAACAUUCAUGCUUAAGGCUGAGACGUGCUGCAGAAAAUAUGUUAAUACUCUUAUUUUAAUAGGAGACAAUGAUUUAAACCAAAAGAAUAUUGGAGAGAAGUAAGAUUUCUUUUCUUCUAUGGCAAGAGUUGGUGAAGAAAUGGAGAGAUAAACAUAUAAUUUAGUACCUGCUCUGUUCAGUCACAUUACUAUGUAUUUGUCAUGUGUUACCUUACAUGGAUUGAAUUUUGUUCCCCCCAAAUUCAUGUCCAUCCCAAACCUAUAAAUGUGACUUUAUUUAGAAAUAAGGUCUUUGCAGAUGUAAUCAAGUUAAGAUGAGGUCGUACUGGAUUAGAAUGGGCACUAAAUCCAAGAUUAUGGCUAUCAUUAUAGAAAGAGGGAAAUUUUAAUACAAACACACAAAAAGGAGACUGUCAUGUGAACACAGAGGCAGAAAUUGGAGUUAGGCUGCCACAAGCCAAGAAAUGGCAAAAAUUGCCAACAACCACCACAAGCUGGAAAAUGUGUUUUUGUUAUGGCAGUCCUGGGAAACUAAUACGUUGACUAGCUCAGAAUCCUAACCAUGGAAGUUUCAGAGGUGGGAAAGUGAGUUUUGAGAGAUUAAAUGAUUUGUUCUAAGUUAUAUAGAAUCAUGAGGAGUGAGACUGUAAUUUUAAAUGAAACAUUGUUUUUUGAACUAAGUUCAUGCUACUACCGUUAUCUUAGUUGGCUGAUAUUUUUGGAAUCUCUAAAUUUAUGAUAUAGAGGGAGGUAGAUUUAUUCCUAAAAUUCUCCUGAAUAUGCAAUUUACUCAUAGGUGUGUGCGUGCACACACACACUUUCAAUCAUGUUGCUUCAUACCUAAUAUGAAUAGUUUAAUUAGCCUUAUUAAAGGACCAGGUUUUAUAAUCACAAGACAAAUUAUUAGGAGAAAGAACCCAGCAUCACACUAUAAGAGUAAACUAGUUGAAUAGUUGACAUACUAAUAGAUGUUUGAGUAGAAAGAGUAGCUAGAAUUAAAAGAAAUUAAGAUCAGUGCUAAAACUAUGUCAUUGUACAGGGGAGCAGAGUCGAUGUAUCUAAUUCACAUUCAUUUUAAUUAAUUUCAAAUGAAAUCCACAAUGAGAUAUCACCUCACACUCGUCUAAUGGCUAGUAUUAAAAAGAAAAAAAAAUAAAAAUAUUUGGAGAGGAUGUGGUGAAAAUGUAACCCUCAUAUACUGUUGGUGGGAAUGUAAGUUGGUGCAGCCACUAUGGAAAACAGUAUGGAGAUUCCUCAAAAAAUUAAGAAUAGAACUACCAUAUGAUUCAGCCAUUGCACUUCUGAGUACUUCUCUAAAGAAUAUGAAAACACAAAUUCAAAAAGAUAUAUGCAUCCCUAUGUUCAUUGCAGCAUUAUUCACAAUAGCCAAAGCUUGGAAACAACUAAGUGCCCAUCGACAGAUGAAUGGGUAAAGAAGAUGUGGUAUAUAUAUACAAUUCAAUACUACUCAGCCAUAAAAAUAGUGAAAUCUUACCGUUUGCAACACCAUGGAUGGAACUUGAGGUUAUUAAGCUAAGCGAAGUAAGUCAGAUGGAGAAAGACAAAUAUGGUGUGAUUUCACUCAUAUGUGGAAGAUUAGAAAAACAACAAACACAUACAGAUACAGAAAAUAGAUUGGUGGUUACCAGAGGAAGGGGGGUGGAGGGAGGGCAAAAGGGGUCAAGAGGGAUAUUUGUACAGUGAUGGAUGGGAACUAGACUUUUGGUGGUGAACACAACAUAGCAUGUACAGAAGUUGACUUAUAAUGAUCUACACCAGGAAUCUAUAUAAUGUUAUAAGUCAAUAUCACCUCAAUAAAAAAUAUUAGGGUAUGGUGAAUGAGAUGACAUUCCUGUCCCCUUUAGGCAGAAACUUUCUCAGUAAAGGGCAGAAAAUAGAGAGAGUGAGCAAGAGAGAGAGACAAAACACAUAUUUAAGUCAGAAUUAUAGGAGUGAUUGAUACUUUUGGUAGCAUGUGAUCAUUAUCUCAGAACAAUGCUUGGCAUAUAAUAGAUAAUCAAUAAGAUCGUAUUGAAUAAUUUAAUGAAUGAAGAUCAUGGUUCACAGGGAGUAUCCUACUCCAAAAGCUACAAAUCCUUGUUGGCCUUAUUGCUGGAAAUUAUAUACAUAUAAGACUUCCCGAGCCAUCUAUAUUUGCUUUCUGGUCUGCUGUCUGUUCUUUUUUUCCUUGAGUCAUCUCAAGAUGUUUGUAUGAGUUAUAGAAGAUUCCUAAUCUGCGAGGCCCAUUGGGCUAAUACCACUUGAGUAUCAGUGGAAGGAAUAGGGCCCUGAUAUCGCCUUGUCUAUUUAAUGAUUAACCAACCAGCAGUCAACAGAAACCAGGCUGAACUGUUUAUUGAAUUUUUGUAUAUAAUGAAUGUGAGAAGUGACAAAUAAAUAAGGUACAACCACCACUACACAGGCACAAAAAUUCCCAAGGAUUUCGUACCAGGACACGUUCCUACUCUGCUACGCUCCUUUUUUCACAUGACCAGGACCUGCUUACUACCUCUCAGUGGACCAACUUCCCUGAGUAUAUCUAUGUCUUAUAGUCCAGGACAACUGACCCCAUCCCCAGAGUUGGUUAGUUGUUUUUGUACUCUGUGCUACAUGUGCAAUAGAUUGACAACACAAUCCUCAAAGUUCGGGGUAUGCAGUUUUAAAAAACAUCAUAUUAUGUCACCAACAGUCUGUUUAUUGGAUCUGCACCAAGAUUAGUCCAAUCUUUUUCCAGGCUUGCUCAUUAAGGGUUAAAAACAUCAUGGAAUGCUUCAUCUGUCUGGAAAAGUGAAUUAAAGUGGUUUCAGAAAUCAAAAUAAACAAAACAAACUCUAGAAAUAGUAAAAGAAAAAUCAAGGUUUACAUCGCUAGUAGAAGGUGACUGAAGGUCCAUGAAUAAGUUGAAGAGGUUGCUUGAGGAAAGCAUAUAAGGUGGUUAGCAAGAAAUUGAUACAAAUAAAGAAUAAAGUUGAUACAAAUAGGAGUGAGGAGAAAAAGAAAAUUAAUAUUGACUAAGCAACUAUUAUUUACAUGCUCCUUUUACAUAGAGUAUUUCAUAUAAAUAUUACAACGAGUCUGUGGAUUAGCAAAUAUAACUUUUUCAUUGUGGAGAUGAGGAAAUAGAAAAAUUAUGCAUACCACAUAGCUACUGAGGGAGGAAUUGUGAUUUAAGCACAGGUGUCCGUAACACCAAAACGUGUACUGGCAAUUGAAGGGGAAAAACAAUGUUGGUGUAAAUGAGGGAAUAAAAUAACUCAGUGGCUGAGGCUUCCAGAAAGGCAGAGUUUUUCCAGAGUAGGCAUAAACAGGGGUUUAAGAAUAUGAACUACCUUGAGCCAUAAUUAUUUAAGAUUCCUGUCAAUAACGUUGGGGGAAUCUGUCAGAAAAGAGGUAAAGACAUUUAGAAGUGGCAUGUAUCAACAGUAUUAUUUUUAGAGAAGAGAUGAGCACAAAAGGAGGAGUGUUUAAGGAUUUCUGAAGAGAGAAGCAAAUAGCAAAGUUAAUGAAUAUUGUGAGUUAAUGAAUAUUGCAUUUGAAGAGCAGAAUGGAAGUCUCAGAGGUAAGUCACAGAACUAUAAGAAUUUUGGUAAUAUUGUAGCAGAAAGUGUGAGGAAGUAAUGAUAAGGUUGGGGAGUUAGGCAAGGGAUAGAUGAGAAAGGCCCUUAAAUAAACUUAAUUCUAGAAUAACCUUGGCUAAAAAAUAGAGAAUGAUUAUGAAACAUAAGUACCAAUUAUACACUUUAAAAGAUAAGGUUUAUUCAAAUAGUUGAUAUGGAUUGGAAAAGUUUUAUAUUUAAAGGAUGUGUCUCAAUUAGCAUUAUAACGAAGAUUUGGCACGAGGAAGAACAUUUGCAGAAGUUUGCCUAGAGGGCAAUGUCACCAGUUGGGUAGUUUCAGAAAUUACGCAAUGAAAUGAAAACUCACUGGCAUGUUACUUAGGUGUGUGUUUGUUUGUUUGUACUAUUUAUGAGCUAUGGGUGGUUCAGUCUAAGCCAGAGACCUCCUUGAGAUCUGGAAUUUUAUUUGUUUUUAUCACCUAAGGGCAUGUGUGCCACAGAGUAAAUAUGAGUAUAUUUGUUUAAGUUUUACUUCCACAUCCAUUCCCUUUUUCCUCUCAAAGUCAUAGCCUAGAUUACCUGUGGGUGUUAAUGUGCUUCUGUCAUGUGCUUCCUGUGGAAUUGGCCCUGUCCCUAAUCUUGAGGAUAUGCAGGAGCAAGGAUGGGUACACAAGCUUGAAAAUCAGAGUAUAACCACAAUAAUUGUUUUUAUAAUAAGAGCCAAUGGGAUGCAUGAAGAUGUUGCUGUGAUUUCUGGGAAAAAUAAUUUCACUCUUUCUCUCUAGAAUUAAAAUGGAGCAUGAGAGUAUAUAAAGUAUGGAGCUACCAAAGUGACUUUUUACCAUGAGGACAGAGUUUGUGUAAACAUCAAGUUGUACCUAGACAAAAAGGAAUUAGCAUAUAGAGAAAAAAAACUCCCAUAAAGUUGUUAGAGGUCUUGCUUGAUUGUGCCUAAAGUCUGCCCUAGUCUUAAACUUUUCAGUUAUAUUACGUUUUUUUUUAAUGUAAGUGAAUCUGGGUUGGAUUUUCUGCCACAAUAGAGCUUUUGUUGAGUGAGUGUUGAAUAAAUGAUAGAAAAAUUUGCCAUGGGAGCUGGAUAGCUGUAUCAUUAAAUUAUUAAGUUUUAGAACAGGAAUGUUUAACCUAGUGUCCAUGUACUGCAUAUACUAGUGGCCUGCAACAGGCCCCCCAUCAAUUGUAUGCAAAAUUUUGAGAAGGCAUGCAUCUCCAUCUUCUUGUGAAAGACAAACAUUUUCAUCACAGUCUUGAAGUUUAUGACUGUAACUUUGAAAGGAAAACCAAACGCAGAAAGCAUAAAAUUAGAGUAGAUCAGCAUUUGCAUGUUAUUUAUUUAUAUCUACAGAACUGUUGAAAAGCAAUUUUCAAAAACUAUUAAAUUUGAAUGCUAAAAUAUGUAUUAAAUACCAUCCCCCCAUUUUUAACCUGAAUUCAAAGUGAGUCUCUUCAAAGCAAGUUGAUUUUUAUUUUCAGAUAUAAGAUGUUCAGGUUUAAUUGACUUCAGAUCAUUACAAAAUCAAUUAUCCCCUUAGAUAAGAUUAAGAUAGCACUGGUACUUGUAGUUGUGGUGACAUAUUUACAACCAACUUUUGACAGAGACAUAUGCAUUUUUUGAAAUAGCAACAAAUUAGAGAUCAAAUUGAGAAGUUUCAUAUAUGGUAGCCUUUUGAGGAACAAAUUGAAGCUUACUCUAAAAAUAUUUUGUAAAGGUAUAAAAUAUAAUUUUCAUGAUUAUUGUGACUCUGUCUUGUUUUCUAUCUAAAUAAUUUAUGCCACAAGUUCCACAUUACAAAUACGCCAAUUGUUCAUCUUAAUAUUUUGUUUUUUAUGGAACUCUUUUGGGUGGAUUUUAGUCACUGAUUAGCUUGAUGAUUUUGUAUAAUGCAGUCAGCUAUUGGAAUGUGUACUCCAGGAUUUUUUCUUCAGUGUUAGCUAUUUUCUAUUUUUCUUCGUUUCUAUCAUUUCUUCAUUUCUAUCUAUUUUCACCACACGACAAAGGAUUUUUAACCAAAUAAUUCAGUCUUAUAUACAACAGUGGAGAAACACAAUUCGAAGGAGGAAAAUGAAAACAACUCUAGUAACCAGUUUGUCCUUUAGUUCAAAACAGAUUGUCUUACAAAUUCUACCUGAAUCCAAAUAACAAAUCAUGAAGCAAUUGCUUUUUGUUCAAAUAUAGUUUUUCAUAGUGUGCUUUUUCAGUGAACAUAGUUACAGCUGUAACAUGGAAUUUUUAAUGCAAUACAAAAGGCAGCUAUCCAAAGUUGAUUAUAUUGUGUGAGUAGUGUAAACUGCAGAUGUAUUUUCCUGUUUUCUCCAUUUAUAACAGCUAGAAAAUGACAAAGGCUGGUGAGAGCUAAUAAAUGAAAAUGACCAGAAAGCCUUUAUAGUUUACUGAUUAAAACUUGACUAGUACAAUGGGUACUUUCCAGGGGGUGGUCAUACAUUUUAAGGGGUCAUGCAAACCAAGUAAAGAAAUGUAUCCUUAUGUCAGAGGAGAAUAGAGAAGAUUCUAGGUGAAUUCAUAAGUAGUGAUUAGUCUAACAGAGUGAAUGAAGAGAGAAGUGCUUGAAGAAUAUGGUAUUACAAUGCUUGUGAAUACUCCACUCAACCCAUGAGUGUAAUUUAUUUUAAUAAAUAAAAUAUUAUGCUAACUUUGACCUUGGAAAUUGUGAAAUAUGGAGACUGUUAGGAAAUUUUGGAAAAACGAAC